rnacentral:rRNA from 1 species
GACGAACGCUGGCGGCGUGCUUAACACAUGCAAGUCGAGCGAUGAACCUUUCAUGAAUUUUUCGGACUGAUUGGAAGAGGAUUAGCGGCGGACGGGUGAGUAACGCGUGAGCAACCUGCCUUAAACAACGGGAUAGCCUCGGGAAACCGGGAUUAAUACCGUAUGAGACCCCGCCUUCACAUGCAGCACAGGUUAAAGCUUUAUCGGUUAAAGAUGGGCUCGCGUCUGAUUAGCUAGUUGGUGAGAUAAAAGCCGACCAAGGCAAAGAUCAGUGACCGGCUUGUGCGAGUGAGCGGUCACAUUGGAACUGAGACACGGUCCAAACUCCUACGGGAGGCAGCAGUGGGGAAUAUUGCACAAUGGGGGAAACCCUGAUGCAGCGACGCCGCGUGAGCGAUGAAGGAAUUCGUUUCGUAAAGCUCUGUCCAAGGGGAAGAUAAUGACAGUACCCUUGGAGGAAGCCCCGGCUAAAUACGUGCCAGCCGCCGCCGUAA